CUUGCUAGAAGAUGACGAGUGGCGGACGGGUGAGUAAUGCUUGGGAACUUGCCUUUAGGAGGGGGAUAACAGUUGGAAACGACUGCUAAUACCGCAUAAUGUCUACGGACCAAAGGGGGCUUCGGCUCUCACCUAAAGAGAGGCCCAAGUGAGAUUAGCUAGUUGGUAAGGUAAAAGCUUACCAAGGCGACGAUCUCUAGCUGUUCUGAGAGGAAGAUCAGCCACACUGGGACUGAGACACGGCCCAGACUCCUACGGGAGGCAGCAGUGGGGAAUAUUGCACAAUGGGGGAAACCCUGAUGCAGCCAUGCCGCGUGUGUGAAGAAGGCCUUCGGGUUGUAAAGCACUUUCAGUUGUGAGGAAAGGUUGGUAGUUAAUACCUGCCAGCUGUGACGUUAACAACAGAAGAAGCACCGGCUAACUCCGUGCCAGCAGCCGCGGUAAUACGGAGGGUGCGAGCGUUAAUCGGAAUUACUGGGCGUAAAGCGCACGCAGGCGGUUUGUUAAGCUAGAUGUGAAAGCCCCGGGCUCAACCUGGGAUGGUCAUUUAGAACUGGCAGACUAGAGUCUUGGAGAGGGGAGUGGAAUUCCAGGUGUAGCGGUGAAAUGCGUAGAUAUCUGGAGGAACAUCAGUGGCGAAGGCGGCUCCCUGGCCAAAGACUGACGCUCAUGUGCGAAAGUGUGGGUAGCGAACAGGAUUAGAUACCCUGGUAGUCCACACCGUAAACGCUGUCUACUAGCUGUUUGUGAAUUUAAUUCGUGAGUAGCGAAGCUAACGCGAUAAGUAGACCGCCUGGGGAGUACG
rnacentral:rRNA from 1 species